rnacentral:rRNA from 1 species
AUGGCCGCCUCCCGUCGCUCGCCUACAGCCCGCACCACUGCUGCCUGCCGCCACUCGUUCGUGGCCGUGCGCUCGCCGGCGCAACUUGGCAAAGCAAGAUAUUCCACGGAUGAGCUGACGGCGGCAGCCGAGGACGAUGAUUCGUUUUCCCGGGGCCGGCUUUAUUAUCUCGCCAUGCACCCGGCGACUGGUCGAUGUGCCCCGCGAACAGAUUCGUUCGUCCGGAUAAGCGCAGUAGAAAGAAGGCCGUACGUCUUUGAGACGUCGCCGGGUCCGGAUCCAAUGCUAUGCUAUGCUAUCUGA